GAAUUCGCCCUUGGGGAAUUUUCCGCAAUGGGCGAAAGCCUGACGGAGCAAUACCGCGUGAGGGAGGAUGGCUCUUGGGUUGUAAACCUCUUUUCUCAGGGAAGAACAGAAUGACGGUACCUGAGGAAUAAGCAUCGGCUAACUCCGUGCCAGCAGCCGCGGUAAUACGGAGGAUGCAAGCGUUAUCCGGAAUGAUUGGGCGUAAAGGGUCCGCAGGUGGCAUUGUAAGUCUGCUGUUAAAGAGUUUGGCUCAACCAAAUAAGAGCAGUGGAAACUACAAAGCUAGAGUGUGGUCGGGGCAGAGGGAAUUCCUGGUGUAGCGGUGAAAUGCGUAGAUAUCAGGAAGAACACCAGUGGCGAAGGCGCUCUGCUAGGCCGAGACUGACACUGAGGGACGAAAGCUAGGGGAGCGAAUGGGAUUAGAUACCCCAGUAGUCCUAGCCGUAAACGAUGGAUACUAGGCGUAGCUCGUAUCGACCCGAGCUGUGCCGGAGCUAACGCGUUAAGUAUCCCGCCUGGGGAGUACGCAGGCAACUGUGAAACUCAAAGGAAUUGACGGGGGCCCGCACAAGCGGUGGAGUAUGUGGUUUAAUUCGAUGCAACGCGAAGAACCUUACCAAGGCUUGACAUGUCACGAAUCCUAUUGAAAGAUGGGAGUGCCUUCGGGAGCGUGAA
rnacentral:rRNA from 1 species